AACGAACGCUGGCGGCAUGCCUAACACAUGCAAGUCGAACGAGACCUUCGGGUCUAGUGGCGCACGGGUGCGUAACGCGUGGGAACCUGCCCUUAGGUUCGGAAUAACUCCCCGAAAGGGGUGCUAAUACCGGAUAAUGUCCUCGGACCAAAGAUUUAUCGCCUUUGGAUGGGCCCGCGUUGGAUUAGCUAGUUGGUAGGGUAAAAGCCUACCAAGGCGACGAUCCAUAGCUGGUCUGAGAGGAUGAUCAGCCACACUGGGACUGAGACACGGCCCAGACUCCUACGGGAGGCAGCAGUGGGGAAUAUUGGACAAUGGGCGAAAGCCUGAUCCAGCAAUGCCGCGUGAGUGAUGAAGGCCUUAGGGUUGUAAAGCUCUUUUACCCGGGAUGAUAAUGACAGUACCGGGAGAAUAAGCCCCGGCUAACUCCGUG
rnacentral:rRNA from 1 species